rnacentral:rRNA from 1 species
CCUACGGGAGGCUGCAGUGAGGAAUAUUGGUCAAUGGGCGGAAGCCUGACCCAGCCAAGUAGCGUGAAGGAUGAAUGCCCUACGGGUUGUAAACUUCUUUUGUCAAGAAAUAACGUCCGGCUCGUGUGCCUUUUUGUAUGUACUUUAUGAAUACGGAUCGGCGAACUCCGUGCCAGCAGCCGCGGUAAUACGGAGGAUCCGAGCGUUAUCCGGAUUUAUUGGGUUUAAAGGGUGCGUAGAGGGGGUGUUAAGUCAGGUGUGAAAGGUUGCGGCUCAACCGUACAAUUGAAAUUGAUACUGGCAGCCUUGAGUAGAGUAGAGGUAGGCGGAAUUCGUGGUGUAGCGGUGAAAUGCUUAGAUAUCACGAAGAACUCCGAUUGCGAAGGCAGCAUACUAACCUGCCACUGACACUGAUGCUCGAAAGUGUGGGUAUCAAACAGGAUUAGAUACCCGUGUAGUC